GUUGUUUUGAAUUCUAUUAAAAAAAAAUCAAAACAUGGAAAAUUAAAGUAGUAUAGCAAUAAGUUUUGUAUUGCUAUGGCAUCUGUGUAUUGUACAUCGAAGUUAGAGUGAUUUUCAGCAAUAAGAAAUUUGACAACAAAUGCAAGCAUUAGGAGAAAUUUUUUUGGAAAGUGCUGUUUAUGAAAAAAGUAUGAGUGUUUGUGAA
rnacentral:lncRNA from 1 species